GAUGAACGCUGGCGGCGUGCCUAAUACAUGCAAGUCGAGCGAACAGACGAGGAGCUUGCUCCUCUGACGUUAGCGGCGGACGGGUGAGUAACACGUGGAUAACCUACCUAUAAGACUGGGAUAACUUCGGGAAACCGGAGCUAAUACCGGAUAAUAUAUUGAACCGCAUGGUUCAAUAGUGAAAGACGGUUUUGCUGUCACUUAUAGAUGGAUCCGCGCCGCAUUAGCUAGUUGGUAAGGUAACGGCUUACCAAGGCAACGAUGCGUAGCCGACCUGAGAGGAUGAUCGGCCACACUGGAACUGAGACACGGUCCAGACUCCUACGGGAGGCAGCAGUGGGGAAUCUUCCGCAAUGGGCGAAAGCUUGACGGAGCAACGCCGCGUGAGUGAUGAAGGUCUUCGGAUCGUAAAACUCUGUUAUUAGGGAAGAAAAAAUGUGUAAGUAACUAUGCCCGUCUUGACGGUACCUAAUCAGAAAGCCACGGCUAACUACGUG
rnacentral:rRNA from 1 species